AGUUCAGAUUGCAGGCUGCAACUCGCCUGCAUGAAGUCGGAAUUGCUAGUAAUCGUAGGUCAGCAUACUACGGUGAAUACGUUCCCGGGCCUUGUAUACACCGCCCGUCAAACCAUGAGAGUUGGCAACACCCGAAGUCGGUAGUCUAACCGCAAGGAGGACGCCGCCGAAGGUGGGGUUGAUGAUUAGGGUUAAGUCGUAACAAGGUACC
rnacentral:rRNA from 1 species